rnacentral:rRNA from 1 species
AGGUCACGGCGAGACGAGCCGUUUAUCAUUACGAUAGGUGUCAAGUGGAAGAUAGCCUUCAACAAAAAAAAGUGGAAGGUGGCCUUCAACAAAAAAAAAGUGGAAGGUGGCCUUCAACAAAAAAAAGUGGAAGGUGGCCUUCAACAAAAAAAAAGUGGAAGGUGGCAGUAA